AGAUAGAGAGAUGGAGAGAGAUGGAGAGAGAGGACUGAGUUCAUUUGAGGAAUAGUUGGGUUGAAACCCCUGGCAGACCUACUUGCUUUAGCAAGCCUGUCUAGUUUCAUUGCUUCAAGGACCCCGUCUCUGUGGACAGCAACCUGAUCUCUACCUCCAGCACACACCUCACUCCUUGGAGAUAGCCCUGCAUUUUCUGAUUUCUCCACCUGGAUCUCACCAGCCCAAGAAUGAAUACCCAUGUUCUUCUUCAGCAUACAGUUAAAUAAACC